AUGGGCGAGGGCCUCCUCCUUUGCCUCCAUUUCCCUGCUCUGCUCCUCCUUUGCCUCCAUUUCCCAGACCAGCAAGCACUAUUUUCACGACAGGGCUCCUCAGCCCUUCCCCUUGACCUUGGAGUUCAGCCCCCCGGGUGUUUCCUUACAGGCAUCGCCUUCCUGCUCAGGCCCAUCUCCCCUCACCACAGGCCUCUCCACAAACCCACUCGGAUAUGA
rnacentral:lncRNA from 1 species